UGUACAACUGAGUGGCAUUUAGUACAUUUACGAUGCUGUGCAACCAACAUCGAUAUCCAGUUCCGGAACUUUCUCAUCACCCCAGAAACCCUGUACCCUGCUACUCCCCAUUCUCCCUCCCCCCAGCCACUGGCAGCCACCAAACUCUGUACUGUCUCCAUGGCUGCGCCUCUUCUGGACGAUUCCGGUACGUGGGAGCGCCACAUCGAGCUGGGUCACCCCAGUUCUUCACAGUGGACACUUCUCAGUAAGACAGAAGGUCACCAUUAAGCAUCUGAGCAGCAGACUCAGGAAAGCGCAAAGCGGAGCAUCGUUGAUGAAUUUUCUAACGCCCCCUUCAGCGUGGCCCAGCGGCAUCGUGGGCCGCGCCCUGGAGGAGGAAACGCGGCCAUCACAGCUCAGCUGCGGCGAUGGGCACGCCUCAACUGCUGGCCUGUCGAAUGUGAUCAUCCUGGUCUUACUGUCUGUUAGGACCUUCCAGGGUGACAGCCCAUUUAACCAGCGCAGUAAAACUGGGGGUGGGGGGCAUUAUCACCCCCGUUUUACAGAGAAGGAAACUGACAGCCAGGAGUUCAAUCAGUUUUCUCCAAGUCUUUAAAAAUGGCAGAGUUGGGGUUUGAACCAAGACCAAGCCGUCCCCAAAUCCCUCUCUGAGCCACCCCGGGGAUCUUCCCUCCUCUCUUCAGAAGUCUGUUCCUGAUGUCAGGGCGGAGAGCUGCCUGCCGGACAGAUGAGCCCUGUCCCUCGGUCACAGCCACCUGGCGAGCUGCUCUCAGACGAGCCACCUCGCUGGCAGGCUCGUACCGUCGUUAACUGCUGGACACCUUGAACUUGACCAGGGAAAGCAACCUGAGCCAUUUGGACUGAUGAUGGAACCGCACACCCAGAAACCGACCGGCUGGGAGAGCAGGGACCCGCUGAAAGCACUCAGGACCCCACCGUGAACGCGUGUGCGUUAGAGAUGCCGAGGGGCUGGGCUCGCGGCAGCCCCCAGGCAGCGCCAGCACCUGGUCUUGGGCACGGGAUGCCACAGACUUUAUUACAUCUUAUUAAAUGUUAAAGUCCCCUGGGGAAGGCGACCUCGGAACCACAGCAUCUGAAGUUCAUUGCGAUCAUCUCCUUGACAUUUACAAAUUCAUAAUGUAUAAUGAACUAACCUGAAGUGGAACUCUUUAAUUAAUUGCAUGAAACAGAGAGUGUAUAUUAAAAAUGAAUAAAUAAGACAAACAAGGUUGAGUUUGCAGACCUCGAGUAAACUGGCUGUGGAAGGAGCCUUCGCACACGUGGCUCGGACUUGAGGGCUGGCCGGGGCCUGAGUCCCGGAGAGCCCCACGCUUCCCCUCCUCAGGGGCGGGUCCCGGACGGCGUGUGAGCUCCCGCCACGAACAUGGACACUGUUUGUAGGACACCUUCGUGAUGUCUGCUGCCGGUUUCAGAAACAGGAGUCUCUGAGUUGGAGAUGCCGUGUUGCCUGAGUCCCCAAGAGACACUGGGGCAUCUGGGGCACUCGAGGACGCACCGUGCACAAGUGGCAGAGCCCAGAUGUGAACUCAAUCCAUGUCUUCCCGCUCCUGCCCUCAGCUUCUGCUCUCUCUGUGAUUUACACAACAAAACUCACCGUCCAUCCCUAGAUAUGGAUGCUCCGAGCAUGGUGCCGGCCAGGGGCUGACCCUGAGGCCACGGCUGCUUGGCCACUGCCACCCCCAGGUUCCCCUCCGCCCCUGGGGCCUCCCAGUGCUGUGCCAGGAGCCCUCGCCCCUAUGCAAGCGAGGCCAAACUUGCAGGGCUUUCUGGAGAGCUCAUGCAGCUCCAAGGAGAGGCUGUGAACAGCAAGAGUAGCCGCUCCAAGCCGUGCUGACAGCUCCUUGGGAACGAAGGCCCUGAUUACAUAACGAGGCUGCCUGGGGAAGGAAGACGAUGCCUGCUCAGGGUUUUGCAAAAGGAAAAAGACAGUUAAAUCUGCCCUGCUCACGCCUCACGCGUUCCUUCUUCAGGCGGUUGUUAUGGAGCCCGAGGCGGCACCGGGCCCUGCUGGAGACACCAGGGAUGUGAGAGAGUCGGACCAAAUUCCCUGCUCCUGGGAUGCUGACAUGCUAGUGAGGGAGAAAGACCACAAACCAAAUAAACAGGCGGAGCUCUGAGGUGGCUGUGAUUCCCGCCCUGUGUGAUCCCCGGGGCUGUGAAUAGGAUGGAUUUUACCCCUGUGAUUGGGUGUUGGGAUUCAGUACAGCGGACAUUGAGAAAGGGAGAUCGUCUCCGGUGACUCUUGAAGAGACUGGGCUCUGCCCAAGGGCAGAGAGCUGAAGCGAGAGAGUCUGCACCGCGGGCGCUGAAGCUCGAGGCCCCCCUGAGAAGGACGUGGGGCCUGGAGGAGCUCCGAGCAGCCCCAGCCCGGGGUGAGCCAG
rnacentral:lncRNA from 1 species